GAUGAACGCUAGCGGCAGGCCUAAUACAUGCAAGUCGAACGGCAAGAUUUGGUAGCAAUACUAAAUCCUAGAGUGGCGCACGGGUGAGUAACGCGUACAUGACAUACCUAUAAGCGAGGGAUAGCAUUGGGAAACUGGUAGUAACCCCUCAUGUGAUUAUUUGUAAUAAAGGUAAAUAAUUAAAACUACGGUGCUUAUAGAUUGGUGUGCGUCUGAUUAGCUAGUUGGCGAGGUAACGGCUCACCAAGGCGACGAUCAGUAGGGGGCGUGAGAGCGUGAACCCCCACACGGGUACUGAGACACGGACCCGACUCCUACGGGAGGCAGCAGUAAGGAAUAUUGGUCAAUGGAGGGAACUCUGAACCAGCCAUGCCGCGUGCAGGAUGAAAGCCCUCUGGGUUGUAAACUGCUUUUAACAGGGAAGAAAUGCUAUACGUGAUAUAGUACUGACGGUACCUGAGGAAUAAGCACCGGCUAACUCCGUGCCAGCAGCCGCGGUAAU
rnacentral:rRNA from 1 species